GCUCUUGUGGCGUAGUGGUAGCGCGUCGCACUUGUACUGUUUCCAAUAGGUUCGGUGGAAUGCGAAGGUCACUCGUUCAAUCCGGGUCGGGAGCA